CCGGGCUAGAAGCGACGCAU
rnacentral:snRNA from 1 species